rnacentral:rRNA from 1 species
UUAAAAUGUAAUUAAAAAAGAUAGAAUAGUAUUAGUUAUAUGCUUGAAAUUUAAAAAAUUUGGCGGUAUUUUAAUUUAUUCAGAGGAACUUGUUUUAUAAUUGAUAAUCCUCAUUUAAUCUUACUUAAUUUUAUUAAAUUUGUAUACCGUCGUCAUAAGAAUUUCUUAAAAGAGGAAUAAUUUUCUAAAAUUUUAAUUUUAAAUAAUGUCAGAUCAAGGUGCAGUUUAUAGUUAAGAAAAAAUGAGUUACAAUAAAUUUAUUUAUACGGGGUUAAAAAUUAAAUUUUUUUAACUAAGGUGGAUUUGAAAGUAAAAUAAAUAAUAAAGUUUAUUUGAUUAAAACUCUAAAAUAUGU